GCAGACUGCCUAUCGAGCAGCAGUACGGAAUCUACGCAUGACGAAGUCGACGAGCAUCCCCGUGAGUGAUGAAGGCUUUCGAUCGUAAACUCGUGUAGGAGGACCAAGUGCUAGUGAUAGCUGCACUGACGUACUACAGAAAGCACGCUACUACGUGCAGCAGCCGCGUAUACGUAGUGCAAGCGUAUCCGGAAUAUGGCGUAAAGCCGCGGCCAGGUGGUUUUUUAGUCUGAUGGGAAAGCCCCCGCUCACCCGGGGAAGGGUCAUGAAACUGGGGGGACUGAGGGCAGGAGGAGGAAGUGGAUUUCCUGGGUAGCCGGUGAAAAUGGGUAGAGAAAGGGGGGACCACCAGGGGCGGAGGCGGACUUUUUGGUUUGGUAAUGGCCACGGGGCGGGGAAGGGGGGGGGACCAACCGGAUUAGGAUCCCUUGUUAUUCACCCCGUUAACGGGGAGUUGUUAGGGGUUGAGGGUUUUCCCCCUUUAAGUGUGAAAGUAAAGCCAUAAAGCACUCCCCUGGGGAAGUCGGGCGCCAAGGUCAAAAUUAAAGGGAAUGGAGGGGGGCCCCCCAAACCGGGGGACCACGGGUUUUAUUUGGAACCACCGGGAGGACCUUUCCCGGUUCUGGCCUUCUUUGGCCACCCGAGGGAUUAGGGUUUUUCUUUGGGAACCAAAGGACCAGUGGGGCCAGGUUGUUGUUCAGUUGGGUUGUGAGAAGGUGGGGUAAAUUCCGCCAAGGAGGCCACCCCUGGUUUUUGGUCCCCUCCUUUAAUUGGGCCCUUUUAGGGGGCCGCCGGGGGCCAACCGGGAGGAGGGGGGGGAGGCGUUCAAUUCUCCAUCCCCUUUAGGCCUGGGGUUCCCCCCGGGUUCCAAGGGMGGGUCCAAGGAGUGCCAGGCCCCGGAGGGGAAGUUAUUUUCUUAAACCCUUUUCCAUUUGGGAUGUUGGGUGCCAAUUGCCUUCCAGGAAGCGGGAUUCGUUGGUAUUCGGGAUUCACCAGCCGCGGGGGAAUCGUUUCCCGGCCUUGGUCCCCCCCCCCGGCCCCCCCCGGGGAGUUGUAACCCCCGAAAUUGGGGGUAACCCUUUCGAGCCAGCCAGCGUAAG
rnacentral:rRNA from 1 species